AGGCAGGAAUGAAAAUCUGGCUUCCUGAUAGAGCCUACAACAUGCAUUUUAUUAAGUUGCUGCUUUCAGAAAGGAAGUUUCUCCUUGAGCCCUAGGAUUCAUAGGCCAUCUGGAUUCUGAAACAUCUGGACACCGAAUUUCUGCAGAGGAGAAUCAGAGGAAAGAGACGAUCAGUGGUAUUGGGUGUCUCCGGAGAGAUUUAAAUCAACGAUGAUAUUUUGGUUGUCUCCCUCUUGGAACAUUAACACAAAACGUGAAAGGAAAAAACAACACAUCACAGGAACCCAGUGUUCCAAGAAUACCAAGACUAUAUAAGAAGUGAACGGUGCUAUCACAAACAUCAACUUCUAACCAGAAAAAGGCAUCAUGAGGAAGCCUCUCCUUGGUCAUUUUAGGAACCCGAAGAACAAGUUGUAAGCAGAGAGAAAUAUUCCUUUUUCCACUGGAACUUAUUGAAGCAGGUCCCAGACCCAACCAGAAAGAUGCCUGAAUUGCCUUUUGAUUUUUGCACUUACAGCCUUGGAUCAUGGACAACUCUGGUGCCGACAACUAGGACUAAUAGCUCACAAGUAAAGAAGUAAACAACGCUGAGUUUUUCUCACUUCACAGAAACUCUGAAAUGACUCCAGAUUACCAUGAGCUCCUUGCUUCCCCUCUGCUUUUUUCACUCUGAGGAUUUGAAGUCAGGAGGCAAUCAGCCCCUGAGGUGUAAACAACAAGAGAUUACUCAUUGAUGGUAUAAACAGAAGAAGAGUACAGAAGUUCAGGCCAGGACCCAGUUGUCAUCUGAAGAGAUACAUCAGCUACAAAGCCUGUCCAAACGGUCAUCACAAAUAGGUUUCAGAAUGUUUUAUAUGGACCUGAGCCACGUUUUUACCUUGUCCGUAUACUGAAAAGAUGAUCUAUCACAGGGCAACGAACUUUCAAAUAACAAUAAAAAUUAUUUGAUUAGGAGGAAAGAACAAGGGUGGGGUGGGAGGGAAUGAUUAACCUCCCCGUGACUCACAUAGAGCCUGAGCCACUGGGGAUGAGUUGGCCACGACAGAAUUUAUACCACACUACAGGCUGAAUUUCAACAAGUUAUUUAGGAUGAUUUUGUGACUAAGCAUGAAAUUGGAAUUAUAUUGUCUCCUGUGUCCAAGUAAUAUAAGCAUUUUUUUCAUUAUUUCAGAUUUUUUAAAUUCUUGUGCUUCUUUAGAAUGAGCUCACAAAAUAAAUGUACUAUGUAAACUACAAAAGGAAACGUAUGUCCUUUUAUUUCCAUUGUGUUGGAAGGAUUUGGUAAGG